rnacentral:rRNA from 1 species
UUGACGGGGAGCACUACGAACGGUGGAGCCUGCGGUUAAUUGGAUUCAACGCCGGAAAUCGUCACCGGGGCGACAGCAAUAGUGAAGGUCAGGCUGAAGACCUUACCGGAUUUAGCUGAGAGGUGGUGCAUGGCCGUCGUCAGUUCGUACUGUGAAGCAUCCUGUUAAGUCAGGCAACGAGCGAGACCCACGUCCACAGUUGCCAGCAUACCCUCCGGGGUGAUGGGUACACUGUGGAGACCGCCGCUGCUAAAGCGGAGGAAGGAAUGGGCAACGGUAGGUCAGUAUGCCCCGAAUCUCCCGGGCUACACGCGGGCUACAAUGGUUGGUACAAUGGGCAUCUACCCCGAAAGGGGAAGGAAAUCUCUUAAAGCCAAUCGUAGUUCGGAUUGAGGGCUGCAACUCGCCCUCAUGAAGCUGGAAUCCGUAGUAAUCGCGUUUCAACAGAACGCGGUGAAUACGUCCCUGCUCCUU